GACGAACGCUGGCGGCGUGCUUAACACAUGCAAGUCGAACGGAAAGGCCCUGCUUUUGUGGGGUGCUCGAGUGGCGAACGGGUGAGUAACACGUGAGUAACCUGCCCUUAACUUUGGGAUAACUUCAGGAAACUGGGGCUAAUACCGGAUAGGAGCUCCUGCUGCAUGGUGGGGGUUGGAAAGUUUCGGCGGUUGGGGAUGGACUCGCGGCUUAUCAGCUUGUUGGUGGGGUAGUGGCUUACCAAGGCUUUGACGGGUAGCCGGCCUGAGAGGGUGACCGGCCACAUUGGGACUGGGAUACGGCCCAGACUCCUACGGGAGGCAGCAGUGGGGAAUAUUGCGCAAUGGGCGGAAGCCUGAUGCAGCAACGCCGCGUGCGGGAUGACGGCCUUCGGGUUGUAAACCGCUUUCGCCUGUGACGAAGCGUGAGUGACGGUAAUGGGUAAAGAAGCACCGGCUAACUACGUG
rnacentral:rRNA from 1 species